AAGACUCCUGGCCCAGUGUGUGGUGUGUUUCUUUUGGGUCGCUGACACUUGCCAUCCUGCUCAGCCCCGGACAGACCUGGCUGGACCAGGUUCUCUCCUCUCACCUGGACCUGCCAGCAAAGAGCGGAUAGGAGUUUGACCCAGGUCUUGGGGAUACAGGUCUGUGGAAGAGUGUGAUUUAGCAUGUAUGGGGUCCUGGGUUUAAUUCCUAGCACCACUCCCCACCACAGGUAAGAUUUUUCCUAAUAUUUGAGAUUUCUAUCUUUAACACCCUGGUUUAAAGUUCUGUCCAUGUCCUACCCAGGAUCCUUUGCAGUCAUAGCCUUCCUGGUAGACACACCUUCCCUCUGGUCCCCUUCAGUGUCUGUGUUCAUAUGGCUGCUUUCCAUCAUUUCCCAUCUGGGACCCCCCAUCACACACACACACACACACACACACACACACACACCAGACAGGGUUAUUGUGGUCACUUUAUGAAAAUAAACUGAGUAUAGUUUGACUAGUUCUCUGCCUAGUCUGGGUGACUGUGUAAGGGACAGUAUGAUAUUUCCUGCUCCUGAAACAACUGGCAAGGUGUGAGCCUCCAUGAGUGUUGAUGGUUGCUGUGUGUGUAAGGCACGUUUGUAUAGUAGUGUACAUAUGUCCCCUCUGCCAAGGUUAAUGCCUUCAUGAUAAUCUGAGACAGCCUGAGGCCAGGAGGCCGGAACAUGUCUUUGUCUCAUCAGAAUAGUAAAACGCUGUGACCUUCAGGACAGCCUUAAGGCUGUGGGAAAGAAUGAUGAAAACAUGAGUCCAAAAAGAUACAAUUUCCCAACUAUACAAAAUAUAAGGAUGUAAUAUGAAUUGUAUAAGGAGCUUCAUAGAUCUAAAGGGACAGAGAUAGGUUCACUAUGAGUCAGCAUGUCAAAGAUACAAAGAUAGAUAGAUUCCUGAGUUCAAGGUCAGCCUUGGACAGAGGGAGUUUAGGUCCAGGCUCGGGUGUGAUAGGAUUGGUAAUUUCAUGGCAGUGUUCUAUCCAGCUAUCUUAUUGUCUGUUUGUGCUUGCUGUCUCUUUCUAAGAUCAAGGGGAUGGGGUCAUGGAAUACUGAUUCAUGGGAUAAUCAAAAGGGAAUCUGGAGUAAUGACUGGAUCGAUAUGUAAGUAAAAAACUGGGCUUUUGGUCUGCAAGAGAGGAGCUAUCCAGAGAGUUAUUAGAAUAGCAAGAGAAAGCUGACUGAGCAGAGCAGAACAGAGAAAGCAGUCUGAAAAGUUGUCUUGAGCAGAACACACACACACACAAACAGAAAGGGGGGGGAGCGCAACCUGGAAAGAUGUCAAGAGCAGAACAUCAGCUUGGAACCGGGAUUUGACUUCGAGUUAUUUGUUUCACCACUCCCAGACACCCCUUCUCUCAGAACCCCUCUCCAAGCCGAGGCUGGUCCUUGGCUGUUCUCCCUUUCGGGAAAUCCUAAUGUAUAAAAGUCUACAUUAGCAAAACAGAAGUCCUGGGUUGCCUAACUACACAUCCCACUCAAAGCUAGUUUGUUUUACAGCAGAAUACCUUCAAAUGCCAAGCUCCCCAGUGCAUUGAGGAUGAGGUUCAGUUGAUGACAAAGUUGACUCAUAGCCUUCUAAGAACUAAAGCAUCAACAACAGCUUGCUUUAAGUCAAUUCUUUCAAUUACAUGCCGACGUAAUCUUAUAAGAUACUAAAAAUGACUGAGGAGUUUUCGAAGCUUCCACAUGUCGGAGUAGACACAGCAGUGCUCUGCAGCGAGCCCAGGACUGCUGGCUGUAAUUAUCUGAAAGAUUAUCAUAUGUGUUGACUGUUGGCACAUUGGAUAGGAAAGGUGCAGUAGAGACUAAGUAGGAUUAUCCAUUGAAGAUGCUGCAAGAGAGCCAGAGCGGCUGGCCCUUGUACACAGACAUGCUGGAAGAUAACAGAUUCCCAAUUGUGUUUGUUUUCUCUUUGUUCUGCAAUAACAAGCCCGACUUAAGUGGCAAAGCAGCUAGGAGGGCUGUGAACGUGCGUGAGAUGAUGAUUACAUGCGAGCAGCCUGGAUUGUCUGAUAGACGGGAGACGACCUGAAGUGCUACUCAUCACUCUUUGAACUGGCAAGAAAGGCUACUGUGCUGUCGAAGAAUGACUUGACCUGCAGACACAGUCCCGCCCUGGUUCAGGAGGUCAUUGCCUGACAGAGUCAAAGUUUCUGCUAUGCAUUUUAAUACAGAACGAUAGGUCUGGAGGAGCUCUUCCAGUUGGGAGAUUCAGCCGUAGUGUUCUUAUCACAUGCAAGACAGUGAGAUUAAUGGAAUUACAUAUUUCGUUUUGAAAGGUUACUGAGUUAACUCUGGUCACAGUAUCCUGUUACUGAAGUCCCCAAAUGUUCCAGUAUCCUUUUCCUCCAGUCUCUGUGCCAACUCCCCAAAAGUGGGAGGAGCUACUCAUGACCCAGCCCUCAGAUCCCCCAGGCAGGCUGGUGUUGAACAUAUAAGGCCGCUCGAGCUCUACCUCAGGAAGUCUAAGGGGUAUAGCAGAAUUUUAACUUGGUUGUAAUUGGAGACAAAACGCACUGCGGCUGAUUUGAAGAGGCCAUCCCUGAAUGCGGCUUUGUGUUCAGGAUCCUGAGAAAGUAAGAGCAACUUCCUCUAGAGACAAAGCCCUUGAUGGAGGCUCGAGGCCAAUCAAUGGGAAAAUUUCAACCUGACAUAAACAUAAUGCAUUAUGCAUGACAGUCUUCAGAAAGCCACUCACCAGCAGUCAUCCGGAAGCACAGAGGCUGGGUUACGGGGUGACUGUGGCUUCCUGCAAUGGCAUGGAAAAAAUGUCUAUCCAGUACAGGGUUAACUUGAGCAACACUUGGCUUUCAAUCUGUGAAAUAAGGAAAGGGGUGCUCUCACAACUUGUCUGAAUAGCCUCCUGUUGGGAAACGUCAUAGUAAUACAGCCAUGACCACUGAGAGUUAGAGAGUGCUUACUUAGUGCUGGAUCCUUGGUAGGCAGAAUCUCACUGGGUCAAUAACGAAGAUAAUUUUUAUCUUCUCAAAACAUAGUUUGAAGAGACAAAAGUUCGCAGAGAGAAGAAUCCUGCCCAACUUCUCAGAGGUAGGAAGAGGUGACUGGUCAGCUUGGUGGGAGUUUUUUUUUUUUUUUGGUUUGGAGAUCCACCCUUGUGCUUGGUAGGCAAAUGUUCUCCCAACUGAGCUAAAUCCCCUGCCUCAGAGCUGAAAUCUGAGCCCAGUGGUCUGAUUCUCAUCUUAGGCACCAAGGAACUCUGGCUUGAUUUUUUAAUGCACUACAGCUUGUUGUAAAGUUAAAAUGCUCUCUUUGGGGGUGGGGGGUGCUUUAGGAGUGGGAACCAAAACUGGACCUCGUCCUGAGUGCGCUGUUCCACAACAGAAGAAUUCCAUUUUCUUUAUAGUUUCUGGCACUAUCUCUCCCAAUUAAAACUAAACAUUGGCUACAGAAAAGGUCAGUGAAUUAUAGUCUUUCAUCCAAGUCUGUUGUUACCUGCUUUUAUAAAUAAAGUUUUAUUGGCACACAGA